rnacentral:rRNA from 1 species
UUUAAAUAGCUGCAGUAAUUUAACUGUACAAAGGUAGCAUAAUAAUUAGUCUUUUAAUUGGAGUCUUGAAUGAAUGGUUUAACAAAAAAAUAACUUUAUUAAUUUAAAAAAUUUUAAUUUAAUUUUUUAGUAAAAAAGCUUAAAUAUUUAAGUGGGACGAUAAGACCCUAUAGAUCUUAAAUUUUUUAAAUUAAUUUAUUUUAUGGUUAAUUUUAAUUAAUAAUUUAAAAAAUUUUGGUUGGGGUGACAUUAAAAUUUUUAAAACUUUUUUUUAUUAUUUCAUAAAUUAAUGAUUUAUUGAUCUUUAUUUUUUGAUUAAAAGAUUAAGAUACCUUAGGGAUAACAGCGUAAUAAACUUGGAUAGUUCAUAUUGAUAAGGUUUUGAUUACGACCUCGAUGUUGAAUUAAUUUAAAAUUUUGAAGUAGAAAUUAAAUAUUUAGGUCUGUUCGACCUUUAAUUAAUUACA